GACGAACGCUGGCGGCGUGCUUAACACAUGCAAGUCGAACGGAAAGGCCCUGCUUUUGUGGGGCGCUCGAGUGGCGAACGGGUGAGUAACACGUGAGUAACCUGCCCUUGACUUUGGGAUAACUUCAGGAAACUGGGGCUAAUACCGGAUAGGAGCUCCUGCUGCAUGGUGGGGGUUGGAAAGUUUCGGCGGUUGGGGAUGGACUCGCGGCUUAUCAGCUUGUUGGUGGGGUAGUGGCUUACCAAGGCUUUGACGGGUAGCCGGCCUGAGAGUGUGACCGGCCACAUUGGGACUGAGAUACGGCCCAGACUCCUACGGGAGGCAGCAGUGGGGAAUAUUGCACAAUGGGCGGAAGCCUGAUGCAGCAACGCCGCGUGCGGGAUGACGGCCUUCGGGUUGUAAACCGCUUUCGCCUGUGACGAAGCGUGAGUGACGGUAAUGGGUAAAGAAGCACCGGCUAACUACGUG
rnacentral:rRNA from 1 species